ACGCUCGACACCUACUGGAGGCAGCAGUGAGGGAUAUUCGGCAAUGGGGGAAACCCUGACCGAGCAACGCCGCGUGAGGGAAGACGGUUUUCGGAUUGUAAACCUCUGUCCUCUGUGAAGAUAGUGACGGUAGCAGAGGAGGAAGCUCCGGCUAACUACGUGCCUGCAGCCGCGGUAAUCUGAGCGGGCUGGCAAGGC
rnacentral:rRNA from 1 species